rnacentral:rRNA from 1 species
UACGUAGGGUGCAAGCGUUAAUCGGAAUUACUGGGCGUAAAGCGUGCGCAGGCGGUGAUGUAAGACAGAUGUGAAAUCCCCGGGCUCAACCUGGGAACUGCAUUUGUGACUGCAUCGCUGGAGUGCGGCAGAGGGGGAUGGAAUUCCGCGUGUAGCAGUGAAAUGCGUAGAUAUGCGGAGGAACACCGAUGGCGAAGGCAACCCCCUGGGCCUGCACUGACGCUCAUGCACGAAAGCGUGGGGAGCAAACAGG